CGAACUCUCUGGUGUGAUGAGACGAGUUGAAAGAAUUCUGUGGUGUGAUGACACGAUGUGAGCAAUUAUCUCAUGGGAGUCUGUCGUGUGAGAGUGGAACUUCAGAUCAGGGGCUAGGAGGGAACUCACCAGUGAAAUCUCAUCAUGAUCUGUUUUCAAUCUGUUUUAACGAUCGUGUCGAUCCAUCACUGAUCGAAUCGUCAGGAUCAACAGUUUAUUUAAGUUGAAUCCUGAAAUGGAAUGACUAUAAAAGUGAUCAGGCUGAUUUUCCAUGUUCUGACUGAUCAGGAAUAGAAUCGAAAAAUCAGUUGCCCGAGUGAUACGUCAAGUCAGGUGGUCAGAAGAAUCUGACCAGUAAAACCUGAUCCUGAUCUGUUUAGAAUCUGUGUUGUAACGCUCGUUGGGACCGAUCACUGAUGAACUCUUCCAAAUCAUUACCUGAUCUCAGUUAAAUCCUAAGCUGAGGAAAAAUUCUUCACCAUUCGAGGAAUCGAUCGAACAGCUCCCACUCUGUACUCAUUGGCGCAUUAAAGAAGUACCAAAAUGACGGACUGCAAAAAAAACGGGGAAAAAAGUGCCGAGAAAUUAGACGCUCGGCUAAUCGUGCAGCUCGAGUGAAUCCGUAAAAUCUCCCGCCGCGAUUACGAGAAUCCCGAAUUUCCUGUUUAACAUCUUGUGCCAAAGCGACAUAUCGAGAACAUCACAACAAACUGUUGAGUUGAUAAACUCUUCAAGGAGUAUAAUGGCUUCGAUGAUAACCGACAAUACAUAACACAAAUGGAUGAAACGUGUCUCUAUCGAUUAUUUAUCAAUCGAAUUUGUCGUGCGAC